rnacentral:rRNA from 1 species
UACGUAGGGGGCAAGCGUUAUCCGGAAUUACUGGGUGUAAAGGGUGAGUAGGCGGUUCGAUUAGUCAUAUGUGAAAUUCCCGAGCUCAACUUGGGCGCUGCAUAAGAAACUGUCGAGCUAGAGUACAGGAGAGGUAAGUGGAAUUCCUAGUGUAGCGGUGAAAUGCGUAGAUAUUAGGAAGAACACCAGUGGCGAAGGCGACUUACUGGACUGAAACUGACGCUGAGUCACGAAAGCGUGGGGAGCGAACAGG